AUCUCUUAUGAGAGAUGAUGGAAUAAGGUUA
rnacentral:sRNA from 1 species